UACGGGGGGGGCAAGCGUUGUUCGGAAUUACUGGGCGUAAAGCGCACGUAGGCGGAUAUUUAAGUCAGGGGUGAAAUCCCAGAGCUCAACUCUGGAACUGCCUUUGAUACUGGGUAUCUCGAGUAUGGAAGAGGUGAGUGGAAUUCCGAGUGUAGAGGUGAAAUUCGUAGAUAUUCGGAGGAACACCAGUGGCGAAGGCGGCUCACUGGUCCAUUACUGACGCUGAGGUGCGAAAGCGUGGGGAGCAAACAGG
rnacentral:rRNA from 1 species